UACAGAGGUCUCAAGCGUUGUUCGGAUUCAUUGGGCGUAAAGCGCGUGUAGGCGGUUCGAUAAGUCUGCUGUGAAAGUCCAGGGCUCAACCCUGGGAUGCCGGUGGAUACUGUCGGACUAGAGUACGGAAGAGGCGAGUGGAAUUCCCGGUGUAGCGGUGAAAUGCGCAGAUAUCGGGAGGAACACCAAUUGCGAAGGCAGCUCGCUGGGACGUCACUGACGCUGAGGCGCGAAAGCUAGGGGAGCAAACGGG
rnacentral:rRNA from 1 species